AUACGGAGGAUCCGAGCGUUAUCCGGAUUUAUUGGGUUUAAAGGGAGCGUAGGCGGGAGAUCAAGUCAGCUGUGAAAUGUAGAUGCUCAACAUCUGCACUGCAGUUGAAACUGGUUUUCUUGAGUGCGUAAGGGGCAGGCGGAAUUCGUCGUGUAGCGGUGAAAUGCUUAGAUAUGACGAAGAACUCCGAUCGCGAAGGCAGCCUGCCGUGCCGCGACUGACGCUGAAGCUCGAAGGUGCGGGUAUCGAACAGGAUUAGAUACCCUGGUAGUCCGCACAGUAAACGAUGGAUACUCGCUGUCGGCGAUAUACGGUCGGUGGCCAAGCGAAAGCGUUAAGUAUCCCACCUGGGGAGUACGCCGGCAACGGUGAAACUCAAAUGAAUUGACGGGG
rnacentral:rRNA from 1 species